ACUCAAAGGAAUUGACGGGGGCCCGCACAAGCGGCGGAGCAUGUGGAUUAAUUCGAUGCAACGCGAAGAACCUUACCUGGGUUUGACAUGCGCAGGAUGCGCUCAGAGAUGGGUGUUCCUUUGUGGUCUGUGUGCAGGUGGUGCAUGGCUGUCGUCAGCUCGUGUCGUGAGAUGUUGGGUUAAGUCCCGCAACGAGCGCAACCCUUAUCUUAUGUUGCCAGCACGUGAUGGUGGGGACUCGUGAGAGACUGCCGGGGUCAACUCGGAGGAAGGUGGGGAUGACGUCAAGUCAUCAUGCCCCUUAUGUCCAGGGCUUCACACAUGCUACAAUGGCCGGUACAAAGGGCUGCGAUGCCGUGAGGUUUAGCGAAUCCUUUAAAGCCGGUCUCAGUUCGGAUCGGGGUCUGCAACUCGACCCCGUGAAGUCGGAGUCGCUAGUAAUCGCAGAUCAGCAAUGCUGCGGUGAAUACGUUCCCGGGCCUUGUACACACCGCCCGU
rnacentral:rRNA from 1 species